GACGACGCUGGCGGCGUGCCUAAUACAUGCAAGUCGAACGAGUGGCGAACGGGUGAGUAACACGUGGGAACCUGCCCAUCAGAAGGGGAUAACUACUGGAAACGGUCGCUAAUACCGCAUACCAUCGGAUGUGCCCAGAUGGGAUUCGCUUGUUGGGGGGGUAACGGCUCACCGAGGCGACGAUCCCUGGCUGGUCUGAGAGGAUGACCAGCCACACGGGAACUGAGACACGGUCCAGACUCCUACGGGAGGCAGCAGUGGGGAAUAUUGCACAAUGGGCGCAAGCCUGAUGCAGCCAUGCCGCGUGUAUGAAGAAGGCCUUCGGGUUGUAAAGUACUUUCAGCGGGGAGGCGUUACCCGCAGAAGAAGCACCGGCUAACUCCGUGCCAGCAGCCGCGGUAAUUC
rnacentral:rRNA from 1 species